AACAGAUGAUGCCUAUCAAACUGUUUAAAAGUAUAGGUUCUGCUAUCACUCUUGGAUGGACCUCGCGGUGCAUUAGCUAGUUGGUAGGUAACGGGCUACCAAGGCGAUGAUGCAUAGCCCGAGUUGAGAGACUGAUCGGCCACAUUGGGGACUGAGACACGGGCCCAAACUCCUACGGGAGGCAGCAGUAGGGAAUCUUCCACAAUGGACGCAAGUCUGAUGGAGCAAACGCCGCGUGAGUGAAGAAGGGUUUCGGCUCGUAAAAAGCUCUGUUGUUGGUGAAGAAGGACAGGGGUAGUAACUGACCCUUUGUUUGACGGUAAUCAAUUAGAAAGUCACGGGCUAACUACGUGCCAGCAGCCGCGGUAAAU
rnacentral:rRNA from 1 species